rnacentral:rRNA from 1 species
CCCUUAGAUGUUCUGGGCCGCACGCGCGCUACACUGAUGCAUUCAACGAGCCUAUCCUUGACCGACAGGUCCGGGUAAUCUUUGAAUCUGCAUCGUGACGGGGAUAGAUUAUUGCAAUUAUUAAUCUUCAACGAGGAAUGCCUAGUAGGCGCAAGUCAUCAGCUUGCGUCGAUUACGUCCCUGCCCUUUGUACACACCGCCCGUCGCUCCUACCGAUUGGGUGUGCUGGUGAAAUGUUCGGAUCGGCCGUUUGUCGCGGUUUCCGCGUCAUGUGGCUGAGAAGUUCAUUAAACCCUCCCACAUAGAGGAAGGAGAAGUCGUAACA